rnacentral:rRNA from 1 species
AACGAACGCUGGCGGCGUGUCUUAAGCAUGCAAGUCGAGCGGCAAGCAGUAGCAAUACUGCCUAGAGCGGCGGACUGGUGAGUAACGCGUGGGUGAUCUGCCCUUGGGAUGGGGAUAGCCGUUAGAAAUAGCGGGUAAUACCGAAUACGUUCGUCGGACUACGGUCCGAUGAAGAAAGGCGCUUUGGCGCCACCCGAGGAUGAGCCUGCGUCUCAUUAGCUAGUUGGUGGGGUAAAAGCCUACCAAGGCGAUGAUGAGUAGCCGGCCUGAGAGGGUGUACGGCCACACUGGGACUGAGAUACGGCCCAGACUCCUACGGGAGGCAGCAGCUAAGAAUAUUCCGCAAUGGACGAAAGUCUGACGGAGCGACGCCGCGUGGAUGAUGAAGGCCGUGAGGUUGUAAAAUCCUUUUGCUGGGAAGAAUAACCAUGGGAGGAAUGCCGUGGGAUGACAUGAACCGGCGAAUAACGCCCCGGCUAACUACGUGCC